GAGGUUUAACCAGCAGGAACUGCUCCUUCUUGCAUCUGAGUAUGAAACCUCAGCCCCCUUA
rnacentral:tRNA from 1 species